rnacentral:rRNA from 1 species
GUGAUGAUAGCACGGGGGCAACACCUCUUCCCAUUUUGAACAGGGAAGUUAAGUCCCGCAGCGCCGAUGGUACUGGCUUCUCGCCGGUAGAGUAGGACGUCGCCAGGA